GACGUAGGGCGCGAGCGUUGUCCGGAUUUAUUGGGCGUAAAGAGCGUGUAGGCGGCUUUGCAAGUCCGUUGUGAAAACUCGAGACUCAACCUCGAGACGCCGGUGGAAACUGCAAAGCUAGAGUCCGGAAGAGGAGAGUGGAAUUCCUGGUGUAGCGGUGAAAUGCGCAGAUAUCAGGAAGAACACCCGUGGCGAAGGCGGCUCUCUGGGACGGUACUGACGCUGAGACGCGAAAGCGUGGGGAGCGAACAGG
rnacentral:rRNA from 1 species